UACGGAGGGUGCGAGCGUUGUCCGGAAUCAUUGGGCGUAAAGGGCGCGUAGGUGGCCUGGUCAGUUCGUGGUGAAAGCGCGGGGCUCAACCCUGCGUCGGCCAUGAAUACUGCUAGGCUUGAGCACUGUAGAGGCAGGCGGAAUUCCGGGUGUAGCGGUGGAAUGCGUAGAGAUCCGGAAGAACACCGGUGGCGAAGGCGGCCUGCUGGGCAGUAGCUGACACUGAGGCGCGACAGCGUGGGGAGCAAACAGG
rnacentral:rRNA from 1 species